rnacentral:rRNA from 1 species
GACGAACGCUGGCGGCGUGCUUAACACAUGCAAGUCGAACGGAAAGGCCCUGCGUUUGUGGGGUGCUCGAGUGGCGAACGGGUGAGUAACACGUGAGUAACCUGCCCUUGACUUUGGGAUAACUUCAGGAAACUGGGGCUAAUACCGGAUAGGAGCUCCUGCAGCAUGGUGGGGGUUGGAAAGUGUCGGCGGUGGGGGAUGGACUAGCGGCUUAUCAGCUUGUUGGUGGGGUAGUGGCGUACAAAGGCUUUGACGGGUAGCCGGCCUGGGAGGGUGGACGGCCACAUUGGUCCUGCGGUACGGCCCAGACUCCUACGGGCGGCAGCAGUGGGGAAUCUUGCACAAUGGGCGGACGCCUGAUGCAGCAACGCCGCGUGCGGGAUGACGGCCUUCGGGUUGUAAACCGAUUUCGCCUGUGACGAAGCGGGCGUGACGGUAAUGGGUCAAGAAGCACCGGCUAACUACGUG